rnacentral:lncRNA from 1 species
UUGGGACUUUCCUUUUUGAAUUUUCCUCGGAGUUCAGUAUUUUAGUGUUUUUACUUUUUUUUUUGACACAUUCCCCAUCUCCAUUCUCAAUUUUAUUGACGAAUAAACCAUGAAAAUUAGACCAAGGUCAGAUGAAUCCUGGCAGACUGACAUGUACCUGUUACAAUCGUUACAUACACCCCAUAUAGUUGACCUACUGCUCAAAAUAUCUGAGAAUUUGACCUACUGUGGAUUCAUUAUUAUUCGUUGGAUAUACCAAUUAACGUGGUUUUCGUGGGUUCAGGUGAACCACGAAUUUAAAUGUUCAACGACGUACAAAUCUUCUACCAGUUCGAAUGCAGACUUUGGCAAAACCACGNA